GACACUUUGGCCGAGUGGUUUAAGGCGCAGGCCUGCUACUACAUCUCCGUACUAACUGAUUAGCCUGUGGGUUCGCCCGCCUGGGUUCGAGUCCCAGAGGUGUCG
rnacentral:tRNA from 2 species